UAAUGCUGGGGCCAUGAAGUUUUGGGGCAAAAGGCUUAAUUCACCAUUCAUCACCUAACUCGGGUCUCAUAUGUCUUCAGCGAUGCCCAAAACUCAAUGUAUCCAAGCCACUUCACCGUCACCAUCAGCGUUUAAUCACCAAGAAAAUAUUCAAAACUCCAUUUCAAACUCUCACUUCCUCAUACACGCGGAUUUUCCCCUUUCAAAUCUCAAUCGAACAGCGAAAUAAAAAACGGGACGCUAUAGAUUUAUCACCGAAUUGAAUCCUCACUGAAGUCGAAACCAUCUUGCACGCGAGUGAAGGAAGACGAAGGGAGAAAAACUUACCGGACGAUUCUGACGCGGUGGCUCAGAGGUUAUGGACAUGGUUCUACUUUGGUAUUGGCUUGGCUUCAAAGAAGUUUUAAAGGCUUGGUGAUAUGCUAUAAAACUUGAUUUGGAGUUGGCUAGGAAUUUGGAAUGCUUUUGAAGCUUGAGUUGGAGAUGGACUUAAUGGCUCAUGUUGUAUCGUUGUAAAUUGGAAUGCUUUGAAACAAAUGGAAUUUGUAAUGUAACUUUGGUAAUUGUAUGUAUGUAUUAUGGUUGAAUUUGAAAUGAUAUAUGUAUGUAUUGUGAAGUGUAAUUUUGAAGUUGGAUGGAUUGGAAUGACUUUGACUUGUAAAUAAAUGUGAAUUCCAAUUGUAUGACAUUGUUGCAUUAUGAUGAGAUUCGAAUUGUAAUGGUUAAAUUUUGAAUGUAUAAGAAGUGGUUUUGGAA